UACGGAGGGUGCAAGCGUUGUCCGGAAUCACUGGGCGUAAAGGGCGCGUAGGCGGCUCAUGAAGGCUGUGGUGAAAGCCCGGGGCUCAACCUCGGAUCGGCCGUGGCGACUCGUGGGCUGGAGCACUGUAGAGGCGGGUGGAAUUCCGGGUGUAGCGGUGGAAUGCGUAGAGAUCCGGAAGAACACCGGUGGCGAAGGCGGCCUGCUGGGCAGUUGCUGACACUGAGGCGCGACAGCGUGGGGAGCAAACAGG
rnacentral:rRNA from 1 species